rnacentral:rRNA from 1 species
UACGGGGGGAGCAAGCGUUGUUCGGAUUUACUGGGCGUAAAGGGCGCGUAGGCGGCGCAACAAGUCACUUGUGAAAUCUCCGGGCUUAACCCGGAGCGGCCAAGUGAUACUGUCGUGCUAGAGUGCGGAAGGGGCUACUGGAAUUCUCGGUGUAGCGGUGAAAUGCGUAGAUAUCAGGAGGAACACCGGUGGCGAAGGCGGAUCUCUGGGCCUUACCUGACGCUCAGGCGCGAAAGCUAGGGGAGCGAACAGG